UUAAUCCGUUUAAAAGCAAAUUGUAGAAAAUGGUACCUUGGUCCAAACAAAAUCACAUCACAAAUCUGAUAAUAUUUUUUAUAAAUGUUUAAUGUAAAAUGUCAUUGCACAUAUUUACAAAGUAGGAAAAAGACAGAAUCCAGAUGUUAUUAAUGACUAUUGUUAAAAUAGUCAAAAUGAAAUAUUUACUGACUCAGCUAUUUUUCAAGGUUACCACUUUCAAAGUUACACAGGCUGGAAAGAGACAUGCGUCGAUCAAGUUCCGACUUUCCCACAUCUAUUUUUGCUGUUGACCCAAAAGAAGGCAAAAUAAACAGUUUGAAGCUCUUCCAAUUUUUCAGCAAACUAGGAUAAAAUUGCUUCUUGACCCAGAAUGACAGUCAUAUCUCUCCUUGGAUCAAGGAGCUGUUACCCCAGAAAUUAAAAAUGAUAUCCCUGAAUUUUAUGUUUUUGCAGGUAUUUAAACAUCUGUACAGACUCUGAUAAAACCACCUCGACAGGCAGAGAAUUCCACAUCCUGAUUGUUCUUACUGUAAAAAAAAACAACUUUUAUUUUGCCUUAGACUAAAUCUCCUUUCUUACUGAGUGCCCAGUCCCCCAAUCUAUCUAAAUCCCUCUGCAGUGAUGUAAUAUCCUGCUCACAUUGUAUUACUUUACAGAGGUCAGUGUCAUCUGCAAAUACUGAAACAUGACUUACAAUGCCAAUUUCAAGAUCAUUUAUAUAUAUAU